UCGGACAUUCAUCUUGCCAGACCACAUCCACACUCACACCACUGUGCAGCAAGGCUACCGCGCUUUACUGAACACACUGUUGGGUAUUUAUUGCCGUGAGGUUCUGUUAGCUGGUCAGUUUUACCUUUGUCUGUUAAUAGAUCUGAUGGAGCUUGUGGAUCAAUAGUUCAUCAAUACCAGCAAUAACAAUGUGGGAGCCCGCUGCGUUGUGCUGCUUCACCAGGAAGACGGGAUGCAUUGUGGUGGGGGCGCUGGAAGUGAUUGGAACCAUUAUUGGAUUACUUGCGGUAUUCUUUCAAUUCUCAUUUAUACAAAACAGCAUAACAUACAUGGUGUGCACACGUACGACUACUUCCACGCUGGGCACAGAUUGUGGAGAAAUAUCCAAUGCUGGAUGAUCCGAUUCUGAUCACCCCCUUCCUGAUCAAGAACACAAUUGUGAUAGCCCUAAAUAUCAUCAUCUGCAUUAUUGUUGUGGUGUUUCUGUAUCUAUUAAACUUACUUUUGAUGGUCGCCUAUGCUUACUGUUACGGGGCGAUUAUCUUCAUGUGGACCUACUUCUUGCUAACCGUCAGGGCUUACUAUUAUGAGCUGAAGCGUGGCAAAUCAGACGACCAUCACAGGUUGGCUGAACACUGUCAAGUCGAAAACGGCCACAUCGAUAUAUAAGCUGUGAAACAAUGCAUUCAAAACAGAAUACUUAACUCAAGAAUCGAAUAGUUACUUAUUCAAUGUCAUUAUUGUUGUCAUUGUAUUAUUAUUAUUAUUAUUAUUAUUAUCAGUAAUAGUAGUAGUAGUGGUAGUACUAAGGAGGCGGUGCCGUAGUGGAUAAGGUGUGAGCGUGGGAUCGGGC
rnacentral:misc_RNA from 1 species